AUGCAGGGCCUAUGUGGUUUUAGGCAAGUGACUUUGCUUCUCAGAUUCUCAAGUUCCUCAUCUGUAAAAUGGGCUUCACUUCCCGGUACCACCGCUGGGAGCCGAGAGGUCAAUGAGAUCAUUAAGACAUGCAAAGCACUUAACUUAGACCAGCGCCUGGCACAGAGCAAGUACUCAGAACCACCGAGCAUUGUGGGAAGUGAGGCGUGUCCUUAUUUUCACCACAAUCCUCACAGCUCCUGGGACAGCCUCCCAGAUGCGGAAACUGAGGUUCAGAGAUACUCUGUCACUUGCUUCUGGUCACGUGUUCACCUAGAGGUGGAGCUGAGACCAGUCCCAGGUCUGUCUGAUCUCCCUAGGUUCUUUGUUGUUGUUGUUGUUGUUGGGAUUUUUUUGGCUCUACCUGCAGCAUGUGGAGGUUCCCGGGCCAAGGAUCGAAUGGGAGCCACAGCAGCGACUCAAGCCAUUGCUUGCAAGCCAUCGCAGUGACAAGGGCAGAUCCUUAACCUGCUGCUCCACAAGAGAACACCUUCCCUCGGUGCUUAACUGUCUCUGAUAUCACUGGUGUAGACAGAGGAGGGAGUCGGGAAAGCACGGCUAGUGGAUUUCAGCGCAGAUCUGUGCUGCUGUGAAGUGGUUAGGACAUCGGGACUGGAGAGGCCUGUCUGCGGGUCUGUGUGCCCGCCUAGUGCUGAGGACUUUCAGGGGUGGGACAAUGUCUCCUUCAGCUGGGUGACUCCAGGGCUCAGCACGCGCCCUGGCAUAGAGCGGGCGCUUGUUAUGAGUCUCCUGAGCGCAUGAAUGGCCUUUGGCCUUCUCUCUGCACUGGGUCCCACACUAUUGAGACAGCACAGACCACUCUGCUCAAAGGCACUGCAUUUCUGGGCACCAACCCAACCCCAGCUGGCAAUAGCCAGUGCCUGAGGGUCACUCCCCCAAGCUGAGCUGGCUUCUUAGUCAUAGUCAGCUCUUCCCUCCAUUUCAGAUUCUCCCUGUCCAGCCCCAGCCGACUCUCUUCUCUCUGCUUCCCAUGACUCUAGAGUUCUUCCCCAUCCCACUCCCAGCUCUCACACCUGGCCAAGCAGGAACUGCUUUCAGAGUCACUGAGCAGAUCUGUGUCAGGUAGGCUGGGCCUUUUACUUAAUUCCUUUGAGUGGCAGAGUCUUUACUCAUUGUCAAAUCUCCAGAUCCUAGCACAGUGCCAGACACAUAAUAUGUGCUCAGUGAUAUUUGCUCAGUGAAUGAACACAUCUCAAGACUCGAUGCAUCUGCAGCUCUCUUGGGCUCUCUGCUGCCAAAGCUCUGGAUUAAUGUGUGUGUGGCCUUGGCAUUUCUAGGCCUUGGUUUUCCCAUCUUUGUUUUUUGUUUUGUUUUGUUUUGUCUUUUCUAGGGCUGCAUCCGCGGCAUAUGGAGGUUCCCAGGCCAGGGGUCAAAUCGGAGUUGUAGCCACUGGCCUACGCCACAGCCACAGCCACAGCAACGCCAGAUCCGAGCCAUGUCUGUGACCCACACCACAGCCCAUGGCAACGCUGGAUCCUUAACCCACUGAGCAAGGCCAGGGAUUGAACCUGCAACCUCAUGGUUCCUAGUUGGAAUUGCUAACCACUGCGCCACAAUGGGCACUCCAGUUUUCCCAUCUUUGAAAUGGAUGGGUUUGAUGGAAGCAGCCCCGUCCACCCCAGGGUCCAACAUGCCGGACAGAUGGGGGGCAUUCCCACAUAAGCCUCUCCCCACCAAGCCCUGCUCACACCCAGAUUUUGAUCAAUCUCCAAAAUCAUUGCAAAGCCCUAAAGGUUUGUGAUGGUCACAAUUAUUUCCCUGGGAACUAGCCACUCACUGUGGGUUGGGGCCUUACAACCCUUAGUGCAAGAGCAAAACUCUCUUAUUCUCUUCAAGGCAGCAGAUUGCAGAGCAUCAGGUGUGAAUGACAUUAUUAUAGGGAUUCAGUUGUUUAUCCUUUAUCUAUUUUCCAACUCUUUAUGGAGCAUCUUCUAACUACCUGGCCCUGGGGAUAUAACAAUGGACAAAAAGACCUUUUGGAGCUUAGAUUCUAGUGGAAGAGAUAGAAAAUUAAAAAAAAAAAAAUAGAUACCUAUUAACUGGGAAAAUUUCUUUUUGUUUGUUUGUUUUUUUAGUUUUUUUUGCUAUUUCUUGGGCCACUCCUGCGGCAUAUGGAGGUUCCCAGGCUAGGGGUCUAAUCGGAGCUGUAGCCACCGGCCUACGCCAGAGCCACAGCAACGCGGGAUCCGAGCCGCAUCUGCAACCUACACCACAGCUCACGGCAACGAUGGACCCUUAACCCACUGAGCAAGGGCAGGGACCGAACCCGCAACCUCAUGGUUCUUAGUCGGAUUCGUUAACUACUGCGCCACGACGGGAACUCCUAACUGGGAAGAUUUCUAAUCACAGUAAGUGCCAUGAAGGAAAUCUUUGAGGGUGCUGGGCCAAAGAGGGCCAGGGAAUGGGGACUACCUUGGGAGGUGUCAAAGUUGGUCCCAAAGCUUCAUUGAAGGACUUUUUUGAACUGCGACUAGAGGAUGCGAAGGCGCUGUCCUUGCGAAAGCAGAGGGAAGAGCACACUGCGCAGAAGGAACAGUAUAGGCAAAAGCUCCAAAGAGAGAAGGGAUAAUUGUGGAUCUUUUUAAUUUUCUUAAAAAAGAAAAUAAAUAUAAAACUGUAUUUCUUGGGAGUCCCCUG
rnacentral:lncRNA from 1 species